AUUGAACGCUGGCGGCAGGCCUAACACAUGCAAGUCGAGCGAGCGGCGGACGGGUGAGUCAUGUCUGGGUAACUGCCUGAUGGGGGGGGAUUACUACUGGAAACGGUAGCUAAUACCGCAUACCAUCAGAUGUGCCCAGAUGGGAUUAGCUAGUAGGUGGGGUAACGGCCCACCGAGGCAACGAUCCCUAGCUGGUCUGUGAGGAUGACCAGCCACACUGGAACUGAGACACGGUCCAGACUCCUACGGGAGGCAGCAGUGGGGAAUAUUGCACAAUGGGCGAAAGCCUGAUGCAGCCAUGCCGCGUGUGUGAAGAAGGCCUUCGGGUUGUAAAGCACUUUCAGCUGGGAGGCGUUACCCGCAGAAGAAGCACCGGCUAACUCCGUGCCAGCAGCCGCGGUAAUUC
rnacentral:rRNA from 1 species